rnacentral:rRNA from 1 species
UACGGAGGGUGCAAGCGUUAUCCGGAUUCACUGGGUUUAAAGGGUGCGUAGGCGGGCAGAUAAGUCAGUGGUGAAAUCUCUGGGCUUAACCCAGAAACUGCCGUUGAUACUAUUUGUCUUGAAUAUCAUGGAGGUAAGCGGAAUAUGUCAUGUAGCGGUGAAAUGCUUAGAUAUGACAUAGAACACCAAUUGCGAAGGCAGCUGGCUACACAUAUAUUGACACUGAGGCACGAAAGCGUGGGGAUCAAACAGG